ensembl:snRNA U6 U6 spliceosomal RNA
GUGCUUGAUUCGGCAGCACAUAUACUAAAACUGGAAUGACACAGAGAUUAGCAUGGCCCCUGUGCAAGGAUGAAGUGCAAAUUCAUGAAACGUUCCAUUUUUUU